UACGUAGGGUGCAAGCGUUGUCCGGAAUUAUUGGGCGUAAAGCGUGCGCAGGCGGUUCGCCAAGUCAGGUGUGAAAUCCCCGGGCUUAACCUGGGAAUUGCGCUUGAAACUAGCGGGCUUGAGUGUGGCAGAGGGGGGUGGAAUUCCACGUGUAGCAGUGAAAUGCGUAGAGAUGUGGAGGAACACCGAUGGCGAAGGCAGCCCCCUGGGUCAACACUGACGCUCAUGCACGAAAGCGUGGGGAGCAAACAGG
rnacentral:rRNA from 1 species